GUGUGUGUGUGUGUGUGUGUUGGUGUUGGGGAAGAGCAAGUCAAUUUUACGGUGAGUUUAAAGAUUUUUUUUGGUCCGGAGAGCUAGAGAGUGCAAGUAAGCUCAGUUGAACACUAUUGAGUUGGCAUCUCUGUAAUGGAGGUGGCUUUUAGUAUUUUGUAGGUACCAAAGUUGAUAGUUUUGGACUUCAAUUUCUUGGAUGUUUCUACAACUUCUCUGCCCAUAAACGGAGCAAUUUUGCGCCGUUUUUUUUUUUUUUUUGGUUUAUUCAGUUGAGUUCAAUUUUAAUUUAUCGCAAAAUCAGUCAAUUUGGUUCUGUUCAGCUGUGAAAAUUAGAAGUCCAAUAUGACCGAGCAAUCAAAAUAACAUAUAUAUGAAAUGGUGCUGUUUUACAUUGAAUAGAAGUCCUCUUAGAUUGUCAAACGUCCAUGGUCUCCUGAUCUCCUCUCUUUCGAAAUUGCAAACCCUAAUCUCAUAUGCUCUUUCUUUGGUCACAACAUGGUGUCAUCCCACCCACCUGUCACUGUUCUGGCCCACCCAGUUAUCUUGCCGUCAUUGCUUCUCAGUUCUCAAUGAUCCACCUUGUCUCUCCAACAUUGCUUAUUACCCAUCCACCUUAUCUCAACACACCUCAUUCUCCUCUUGCUCUAGCGUGUCAUGCUUCCCCUCACUCCAUUAACCAAGGUGAGAAUGGGUUGCUGGGCAUCAAAUAUUGUAAAGGCAAUGUUUGUUAAAUUUAUUGUUGUUCAGUUCUUGAUUUGUGGCUGUAAGGAUUCCAUAGAGAUUUUUGAGAGAUGCUUUCUACGAAAGGAUGAUUACAAGUCUUGCUAUAGGUGUUCCCAAGAGCCAUAUUCAAUUUCAUUAGAAUUUAUCUUCAUAUAUAUUAUAUGUUUGUGGUGUUGCGUGUGCAAGGGAAAGAAAAAUCAAUUUUGAUGUAUGUCUUCUGUAAUUCCUGAAUGUGAUGACGAAUGUGUCUCUACUCUCAGGGAUUUUCUUGUUUCAAAGUUCUUUUGAACAAAUUUUUUUUGGUUAUUUUUUUAAAGCAAUGAACUGUCAGUCUCUUUUUUAUUAUUUGCAGUGCUUGUAUAAUUUUUCUUAGUAGUUCUAGUAAUGAUCUGAGAGAUAUUCUUAUUCUGUU
rnacentral:misc_RNA from 1 species